UGGGGAAUUUUGGACAAUGGGCGCAAGCCUGAUCCAGCCAUGCCGCGUGCGGGAAGAAGGCCUUCGGGUUGUAAACCGCUUUGUCAGGGAAGAAAUCUUCUGAGUUAAUACCUCGGGAGGAUGACGGUACCUGAAGAAUAAGCACCGGCUAACUACGUGCCAGCAGCCGCGGUAAUACGUAGGGUGCAAGCGUUAAUCGGAAUUACUGGGCGUAAAGCGUGCGCAGGCGGUUUUGUAAGACAGAGGUGAAAUCCCCGGGCUCAACCUGGGAACUGCCUUUGUGACUGCAAGGCUUGAGUGCGGCAGAGGGGGAUGGAAUUCCGCGUGUAGCAGUGAAAUGCGUAGAUAUGCGGAGGAACACCGAUGGCGAAGGCAAUCCCCUGGGCCUGCACUGACGCUCAUGCACGAAAGCGUGGGGAGCAAACAGGAUUAGAUACCCUGGUAGUCCACGCCCUAAAACGAUGUCAACUGGUUGUUGGGAAGGUUCCUUCUCAGUAACGUAGCUAACGCGUGAAGUUGACCGCCUGGGGAGUACGGCCGCAAGGUUGAAACUCAAAUGAAUUGAC
rnacentral:rRNA from 1 species